AGUGAACGCUGGCGGUAGGCCUAACACAUGCAAGUCGAACGGCAGCACAGUAAGAGCUUGCUCUUACGGGUGGCGAGUGGCGGACAGGUGAGGAAUACAUCGGAAUCUACUUUUUCGUGGGGGAUAACGUAGGGAAACUUACGCUAAUACCGCAUACGACCUACGGGUGAAAGCAGGGGAUCUUCGGACCUUGCACGAUUGAAUGAGCCGAUGUCGGAUUAGCUAGUUGGCGGGGUAAAGGCCCACCAAGGCGACGAUCCGUAGCUGGUCUGAGAGGAUGAUCAGCCACACUGGAACUGAGACACGGUCCAGACUCCUACGGGAGGCAGCAGUGGGGAAUAUUGGACAAUGGGCGCAAGCCUGAUCCAGCCAUACCGCGUGGGUGAAGAGGGCCUUCGGGUUGUAAAGCCCUUUUGUUGGGAAAGAAAAGCAGCAGGUUAAUACCCCGCUGUUCUGACGGUACCCAAAGAAUAAGCACCGGCUAACUUCGUG
rnacentral:rRNA from 1 species